UACAGAGGAUGCAAGCGUUAUCCGGAAUGAUUGGGCGUAAAGCGUCUGUAGGUGGCUUUUUAAGUCCGCCGUCAAAUCCCAGGGCUCAACUCUGGACAGGCGGUGGAAACUACCAAGCUGGAGUACGGUAGGGGCAGAGGGAAUUUCCGGUGGAGCGGUGAAAUGCGCAGAUAUCGGGAGGAACACCGGUGGCGAAGGCGGGUCUCUGGGCCGAUACUGACGCUGAGGAGCGAAAGCGUGGGGAGCGAACAGG
rnacentral:rRNA from 1 species